rnacentral:rRNA from 1 species
UACGUAGGGUGCAAGCGUUGUCCGGAAUUAUUGGGCGUAAAGAGCUCGUAGGCGGUUUGUCGCGUCUGCUGUGAAAACUCGGGGCUUAACCCCGGGCCUGCAGUGGGUGACGGGCAGACUAGAGUGCGGUAGGGGAGACUGGAAUUCCUGGUGUAGCGGUGAAAUGCGCAGAUAUCAGGAGGAACACCCGGUGGCGAAGGCGGGGUCUCUGGGCCGUAACUGACGCUGAGGAGCGAAAGCGUGGGGAGCGAACAGG